ensembl:lncRNA
GUGUAAUCUCCCUCCAUUUUGCAUUCUUCUACUAUAAACAGCUCCAGUCUCUCUUCAGACACUGUACUUAAGUCAAAUCCUUCUCCUUUGACACCUCCAGGGCCUAUGUAGAGUUCUACCGCUCGUCAAUGAGAGGUUCUGGCGUUCUCCCAGAGGUCUCUCUGUCUCUCCUCCUCACGCAGCAGAGACUUCCUCUCCAUCUCAACGUUUAACCCGCUGGAGAGGUGGAGACUUGGGCAGGGGGGUAGUGUAUCUCACACCUCAGAUAUACACGGUUGAAUGUGGAUAUUCAGAAUCAGUCAGUGAGCCCUGUCAGGGUUCUGAGCAGCUCCGUUGAGUUGGAGAAUCCUCCGUCUAACCCUGUCUUUAUCGUCAAUAUCACCGAGGUGUCUGUUCCGCCUCUUUCACUUUCAGUGCACAAAUAAAAAAAGCAGUGGCUCCUGUGUGUGUGUGUGUGUGUGUGUGUGUGUGUGUGUGUGUGUGUGUUUGUGUG